UAAUACGGGGGGAGCAAGCGUUGUCCGGAAUUAUUGGGCGUAAAGGGCGUGUAGGCGGCCUGGUCAGUCGAAUGUGAAAUCCCACGGCUCAACCGUGGAACUGCGUUCGAUACUGCCUGGCUUGAGUAUGUGAGAGGUGUGCGGAAUUCCUGGUGUAGCGGUGGAAUGCGUAGAUAUCAGGAAGAACACCGAUGGCGAAGGCAGCACACUGGCGCAAUACUGACGCUGAGGCGCGAAAGCGUGGGGAGCAAACAGG
rnacentral:rRNA from 1 species